ACCUGGGUGGCUCAGUCGGUUGAGCGUCCGACUUCAGCUCAGGUCAUGAUCUCGCGGUUUGUGGGUUCGAGCCCCGCAUCAGGCU
rnacentral:tRNA from 1 species